rnacentral:lncRNA from 1 species
AAACAAUGCACAAGAUAAACAGCCUAUGUAUUUUGUGUCACUUAUUGCCAUAAACUUCCAUGUCCUUUAUUGAUUCACACAGGAAAUCUUACUGUCUGAUAGUCUGAAAAAGAAGUUUGAUUCAUCUGGAUCUCCCCAAGCCUCUUCAUAUCAUCAAGUUAUUAGAAAAAAUGUUUGAAUGAUGAAGGACCUUCACCUUCCAGUAAACACUAUGAGUUACUGUUUAUUAUUGAGAUCGCCUGCAGAAGAAAGACUACUCACAAAACAGAGAAAUAAGGACUAUACUGUCAACACUAAAGUUGGUCAGAAGUGGAUAACUUUAAAAGGAGAAGGUAGGAUGUCAAACACUAGGUUUUGUUAUGACUGAAUAUUUGCCUUUGGCUUAACAGCACUGAAGCAUGUAGUAUGAAGUUCUAUUAUAGUAUUCUAUAUACUAUGAAGUAUGUGUUCUAUUAAUCCAUGUUAGGAAAAAAUCCCUGAGCAAAGUAUAUUUCCUAUCAUAGAGAGUUUCAUUUUGUAGGGUUUAUAAUACAGGGAUUCAAGUCAAGUCCUUAGCUUUACAAAAAGAGAAGAAUAAGUAAAUGCCUGUG